rnacentral:rRNA from 1 species
AUAAAUUAUUAAGAGCGUAUGGUGGAUGCCUUGGAAUUGGAAGACGAUGAAGGACGUGACUACC